rnacentral:tRNA from 1 species
UGCGGGUUCGUCUAAUGGUAGGACAUCGCCCUCUGGAGGCGAGUAUUGGGGUUCGAGUCCCUGACCCGCAG